UGAUAAUUAGUUUAAACAAAAUAAGUGAUUUCGACUCACUAGAUUAUGAUAAAGCUCAUAAUUAUCUU
rnacentral:tRNA from 1 species